rnacentral:rRNA from 1 species
UCUUGGUCAUUUAGAGGAAGUAAAAGUCGUAACAAGGUCUCCGUAGGUGAACCUGCGGAGGGAUCAUUACACAAAUAUGAAGGCGGGCUGGAACCUCUCGGGGUUACAGCCUUGCUGAAUUAUUCACCCUUGUCUUUUGCGUACUUCUUGUUUCCUUGGUGGGUUCGCCCACCACUAGGACAAACAUAAACCUUUUGUAAUUGCAAUCAGCGUCAGUAACAAAUUAAUAAUUACAACUUUCAACAACGGAUCUCUUGGUUCUGGCAUCGAUGAAGAACGCAGCGAAAUGCGAUAAGUAGUGUGAAUUGCAGAAUUCAGUGAAUCAUCGAAUCUUUGAACGCACAUUGCGCCCUUUGGUAUUCCAAAGGGCAUGCCUGUUCGAGCGUCAUUUGUACCCUCAAGCUUUGCUUGGUGUUGGGCGUCUUGUCUCUAGCUUUGCUGGAGACUCGCCUUAAAGUAAUUGGCAGCCGGCCUACUGGUUUCGGAGCGCAGCACAAGUCGCACUCUCUAUCAGCAAAGGUCUAGCAUCCAUUAAGCCUUUUUUUCAACUUUUGACCUCGGAUCAGGUAGGGAUACCCGCUGAACUUAAGCAUAUCAAUAAGCGGGAGGA